rnacentral:rRNA from 1 species
CAGUCGCCGCGGGAAUACGUAGGGUGCGAGCGUUAAUCGGAAUUACUGGGCGUAAAGCGUGCGCAGGCGGUUUUGUAAGACAGGCGUGAAAUCCCCGGGCUCAACCUGGGAAUGGCGCUUGUGACUGCAAAGCUAGAGUGCGGCAGAGGGGGAUGGAAUUCCGCGUGUAGCAGUGAAAUGCGUAGAUAUGCGGAGGAACACCGAUGGCGAAGGCAAUCCCCUGGGCCUGCACUGACGCUCAUGCACGAAAGCGUGGGGAGCAAACAGGAUUAGAUACCCGCGUAGUCCCUGUCUCUUAUCA